rnacentral:rRNA from 1 species
GAGGGUGUAAAAAAAUCCAUCAGAGCAGCAGCGCGCAAAUAACCCAUCUAGACAGUAGAGUGGUGAAGAGAAGUACUGAGUGGGGGCCUAAUGGUCACCCACUGGAAUGAACGUAUUAAGCAAUUCGAUGAGUAACUACUGAGGGCAAGUCCUGGUGCCAGCAGCCGCCGGUAAUUCCCAGCUCCAGUGGCGUGAUUUAAAGUUGCUGCGUUUAAAACGCUCGUAGUUGGAUCACGCAGUAGUAUUGAGUAAUUCAAUAAGGCGGUUGGUGACGAUUUUCUGAAGAGAUUAUUGGAUCUCCGUCGAAUUGAAUGUUGACGCUUAAUGCUACUAUUUGCACACAAGUAUGACAUUUGGCCUUAAGUGAGUCGAAUGUAAUAUCUUGUGGAGUGUGCCUUGAAUAAAACAGAGUGCUCAAAGCAGGCGAACGCUUGAAUGUUAUAGCAUGGAACGAACAAACGUGUAUUUGCAUUGUAAUAUUGUAGUGUGAGGUAACUUGUGCUACAAUUUACAUAUGCAGCACCCGCCAAAAUACGGAUGUUGGUUUUCGUAUUAGGUGAUGAUUAACAGGAGCGGUUGGGGGCAUUGGUAUUUGGCCGCGAGAGGUGAAAUUCUUGGACCGGCCAAGGACUAACAGAUGCGAAGGCGUUUGUCUAGACCGUUUCCAUUAAUCAAGAACGAAAGUGGGAGGUUCGAAGACGAUCAGAUACCGUCCUAGUUCCCACUAUAAACUAUGCCGACCUGGGAUCAGUUUAGUGAUUUACAAGCUCUAGGUUGGUCCCCCUGGGAAACCUCAAGUUUUUCGGUUACGGGGAGAGUAUGGUCGCAAGUCUGAAACUUAAAGGAAUUGACGGAAGGGCACCACCAGGGGUGGAGCCUGCGGCUUAAUUUGACUCAACACGGGGAAACUUACUUGGUCCUGACAUCGAUAGGAUAGACAGACUAAUAGAUCUUACUGAUGCGGUGAGUGGUGGUGCAUGCCUUCUGUUACUCAAAAAAUUAUCCGCCCCUUUUCC